GAUGAACGCUGGCGGUAUGCUUAACACAUGCAAGUCGAACGGACUCUUCGGAGUUAGUGGCGGACGGGUGAGUAACGCGUGAGAAUCUGGCUUUGGGUUCGGGACAACCACUGGAAACGGUGGCUAAUACCGGAUGUGCCGAGAGGUAAAAGAGAAAUUGCCUGAAGAUGAGCUCGCGUCUGAUUAGCUAGUUGGUGAGGUAAAGGCUCACCAAGGCAGCGAUCAGUAGCUGGUCUGAGAGGAUGACCAGCCACACUGGGACUGAGACACGGCCCAGACUCCUACGGGAGGCAGCGGUGGGGAAUUUUCCGCAAUGGGCGAAAGCCUGACGGAGCAAUACCGCGUGAGGGAAGAAGGCUCUUGGGUUGUAAACCUCUUUUCUUAGGGAAGAACAAAAUGACGGUACCUAAGGAAUCAGCAUCGGCUAACUCCGUG
rnacentral:rRNA from 1 species